AUUUUUCUGAAGCAGAAGAAAUGAGAGACAUUUCAUUUUUGUAGGUGAGAAGUGAAAUGUUCCUCUCUGCUCACUGAAAGAGGCAUGCUAAGGUGAAUUUUAAUUAUGACUAAAUUGUGGUAUUACUCUUUCAUACCCUGAACAUCUGUUCCCUUCAGGAAUGAUGAUUUAUGCAGGCUAUCACUGCAGACAGCUUGCUACAGCUUAUGUCACGGUUAGUAGGAAGCUGGUGGUAGAAUUUCAGAAAAUACCAGCGUCUAAGUGAAGACAGGCCAGUGUGUAUUUUUAAGGCCAUCUGUCAUUAAUGAGGAAAGUAACUCGGAUAGUGAAUGGCCUGGUUCUUCAUAACAGUUUCAACAAAAAGAAAAUGAAGCUGUCAUUUCCAACUGCAUGUAGAAUAUUGUUGACAAGAAUUCUGACAGGUUUAUAGUGUUUAAGAACUGGAUAGGGCAGGAUAAUUCCAAGACUAUUGCAUCACAAAAUCAAAUUGAAAAGGUAACCUUUGUUUAUUAACAUGUAUGAAUGCAUCUUCAAAUUACCUUCAUUGCUACAACUGGUUUAUUGUUUUCCUGUAACUAUAGAUUAUUCUUAUAAAAAGAAACCAAAAACUCUUUUGAAUUACAAAGCCUUGGAAUUCAACAAAACUAGGGGUUAUAUUUAAGUUCAUGUUACUUAAGAAAAAUAAGGUAAAAUUUUCUCAGUGAACCUUCUCCCCUGAUAGCCCUCCUGCUCUUUAACCUACACUUCUUUACCCAGUAAUCAGCCUAGCUUAUGAUUAUGCCUAUUUUUGUGUGUUCUAACAAUAUAUGUAAUAGAGGAUUUAUUAACAAGGAAUAUUAUUUCUAAGUUUAUCUGAGGCAUGGAUAAUGUAUUUGAAAAUACAGCCAAGUUUGAUUAGGCCAGGCAUUUGAUUAUAAAUAUUCUGUAGCUAAAAUAUCUGUCUUAAAAUAUAUAACACCGUAACCACAUAACAAAGUAUUUCAAAGUUACACUCUGUGCAAUUUUUUUCAUCUAUAGUAUUUUUUGGUAAUUUAGUAGGUUUUAGGGUAAUACACUCUUUGUUUUCAGGUAAAUCUAGAAGGUUGAAUAAUAACUUCUACAUUCAUUGUGAUAAGUAUAAUUAAAAUACUCAGAUCAAACUUGUACAUACUCUUGUACACUGGAGCAAAAAGAUUCAGCAGUGAUUUUUAAACUUCACAACAAAUCAGUAGCUUGAUAAAGUGUUAAUCAACCUUUGUCUUUUUUCCAUGGGGAUAUUUUUGAUCUGGACCAUUAAUUAUUGAACUGUCAUCUACGAGGCCUUAUACUUCUUGUAAUGGGUAUCCAAAAGCAACUGAGGGUAGAGUUUUGAGCAUGUUUAAAGUCAGUGUACUCCAGCACUGCUGUUAAAAGAAGCUGUCUUGGCCUCCACCGUUUUUAUCCAGUCAUUGUAGACCUUCUGCAACUCCAUGGGUAGCAUAAGGGUUUUGUUUCAUCAUUCCAUGAACCACACAGGGGAGCUGGUAUAGGUAAAAGAUAAACCAGUUAAAAUUGUCAGUUUUAAUUGGGAAUAGUUUCUAGAAUCUUGUUCUCUGCACAGCCCCAAAAUGCUGUUGUGUUUUCUCUGAAAGACAAAAAUUCUUUGGAAAAUUCUAGUCUGUACUUCUCGGUUCAGGGAAAGGAGAACUAAAGCCAAAGUUAUAUGUUUACAUGCAAUUCACAUUUGCAUUUUAUACGAGCAUCUGAUCCUCCAGUGAACAAUGAAUGUAUCAAGAUACACACAUUGAAAUAAAUUCAAAAUAUGUGUCUCAGGUAUUCAAUACAACUGUAAGUACAAAAUAAAAGUACUUUUAAAAUCUUCAAAAUAAUAUUUUAUGCUGUCUAGUGAUUUAAAAAAGUAAACAUAUUUCUUGCUUAUAAAUCGGCAAUGAAAGACUGUACAAAUUGCAAUACUGUGUCAGACUGGAAUUUAAUCUAACCUAAUAUCCUAUCUUUGAGUGAAUAUUCAAAGACAAGUGGAAGGAUGAGAACAGUAUGUGGCACGUAUGAUGUGUACGAUAAUUUUUAAGCAUAUUUUCCUCAUUCGACCAACUCCAGUCCUGAUGUACUCAAAUCACAAACAGUGUGUCAGAAGCAGUGCAUUUUCCUGUUGCUUGAAAGAAAUAUUGAUAUUUGAACAGGACAUGAGUUGUUCCCUUUGCAGUUUAAUUUCUUAAGCAUGAUUUAAAAAAUCAAUUAAAAUGUGUUUUCUUUUUUUUAAUGUAUAAUAAGCAAAAUAGCAGAUUGAUACUGCUCUGCAAAAAUAAUCUCUGUAGACAGUAACAAUUUAUUUUCUGACUUAUACCUAUUAAUGAAAAAGUGAACUGUCUGUGCAAAGAAUGAUGUGAGCAGGGAGGUCUCAAAUACAACUGAAAAACGGAGAAUGUUCGAUUCUUUUUGUUCUGAACCUCUGUAAAAAGUGAUAGCAUUCUCACUUGAGAUAUGCUAGAUCCAUCUCACUUAAUGAAGAGCCUAAAUA
ensembl:lncRNA